CACGUAGGGGACGAGCGUUGUCCGGAUUCAUUGGGCGUAAAGCGCGCGUAGGCGGCUCGGAAAGUCGGGCGUGAAAUGCCGGGGCUCAACCCCGGGACUGCGUCCGAUACUUCCGAGCUGGAGGUAGGUAGGGGAGAUCGGAAUUCCUGGUGUAGCGGUGAAAUGCGUAGAUAUCUGGAGGAACACCGGGUGGCGAAGGC
rnacentral:rRNA from 1 species